AACGAACGCUGGCGGCAGGCCUAACACAUGCAAGUCGAACGCCCCGCAAGGGGAGUGGCAGACGGGUGAGUAACGCGUGGGAACCUACCUAGUGGUACGGAACAACUCGGGGAAACUUGAGCUAAUACCGUAUACGCCCUCAGGGGGAAAGAUUUAUCGCCAUUAGAUGGGCCCGCGUCGGAUUAGCUUGUUGGUGAGGUAAUGGCUCACCAAGGCGACGAUCCGUAGCUGGUCUGAGAGGAUGAUCAGCCACACUGGGACUGAGACACGGCCCAGACUCCUACGGGAGGCAGCAGUGAGGAAUAUUGGACAAUGGGCGCAAGCCUGAUCCAGCCAUGCCGCGUGAGUGAAGAAGGCCUUAGGGUUGUAAAGCUCUUUCGCCAGGGACGAUAAUGACGGUACCUGGAUAAGAAGCCCCGGCUAACUUCGUGCCAGCCGCCGCCGUAAUAC
rnacentral:rRNA from 1 species